rnacentral:lncRNA from 1 species
GGCGCAGGCAGGCCACGGCGGGGGGAGGUUUAUUGUGGGGGUGCAGCAGCCCCCCGGCACCUGAGAGAAGGCAGAGCUGCGCCGGCAGCGCUAAUAGUCCUCGGCCAUGGCGAGCACAACGAGCGCAGUCCAGCCGGCAAAGGGCCGGCAGCCCUGCCCGCGCCCCGAGCUGUCGCUGUAGUGCUCCCACAGGAAGCCGCUGUCCGCGUGCUGCCGGUACACGUUGGUGAUGAGGUUGUGGCGCAGCUCCCGGUACAGCUCCGCCGCACGCUCCCGCUGCGGCCCCUCGGUGCUGGCGUAGCCGUGCAGCGCCCGCAGCGCCAGGUAGUUGAUGUUGAGCCAGACGGAGCCGCGCCAGUACGGGGGGUCGUGCUGCGUGUUGCGCCGCAGGUAGAAGGCGCUGUCCCGCGCCAGCGAGCGCAGCCCAAAGGGCGACCAGAGCUGCCCCUCGCUGCGCAUGGCGGCCAGCACCGCGGGCAGGCGCGGCGAGUCCGGCCGCAGCAGCUGCAGCAGCACCGGGAAGAGGCUCACGUAGCCCAAGGCGUCCACGAAGCGCAGCCGCGGUGCCUCCCGCACCUCCCGCAGCAGCUGCGGCGCCGCCGGGGGCUGCCCCGGGGCCGCGGGUGCCGGCGGCUGCCAGCGCAGGGCCACGGCCGCGCUGUGGUUGCCGUAGUCUGCGAAGGCGCCGAGCUCGGGCGCCCAGUGCAGCCGCUCCAGCAGCUCGUUGUCCCCGAGCGCCUGCGCCGCGGCGCGGAACGGCUCCGCCGGCUCGCCCAGGCGCUCGGCCAGCACUGCCAGCACGCGGGCGCCCAGCGCCAUCCAGCAGUAGAGGUCCAGGUGCCGCUCCUGCGGGGACGGGUGCGAGGCGCGGGGGUAAUCGUCGAGCCCCGACGCCAGCGUCUUGGGGUUGAGGAACCGCUCGUGCUCGGCGUCGCGCCCGCGCCAGCGGAAGCUCAGCGGCUCCGGCCCGGCCUGCGUGCGGUUGAGCCACGCGUACCAGGCGAGCAGGCGCGGGAAGAGGCGCCGCAGGAAGGGCCGCGGCGCCGCAGGCAGCAGCCGCUCCAGCGCCAGCAGCAGCGUCGGGGGGUUCGCGGUCUCGCUGCGCUGCAGCACGAACUCGGGGGGCACCUUGGCCCGUGCCUCGUCCCCCAGGAUCUGCUCCCGCGGGAUCCAGCCCUCGGCGUUCAUCAGGUCCAGCCAAUGCGCCACCACCUCGCGGCUCAGCGCCGGGUCCCAGCGCGCCACCAACAGCUGGUGGAAGCCCUCGUCCCACAGGAAGCCGCGGGGGAAGAAGGAGCGGGAAGGGACGGCGGUGAAGAGCGCGGCCUCGGCGCCGGGCACCGCGCGCUCCCCGGGCGCCGCCUGCACCAGCGAGUGCCCAUGGAAGUAGCCGAUGCCGCCCAGCACCUCGCUGAGCGCCGCCUGCGCGAAGCGGCGCUGCGGCGCCGUGAAGCCCUUCCCCGCCAGCCCGAAGGUGGCCUCGAAGCGCUGCUGGAACGCGGCCUCGUGCCGCGCCAGGGCCGCGGAGAAAGCGGCUCCCGCCAGGGGCGCCGGGGCCGGCGCCGCGCUGCCCGACUCGAACGUCACCUCCACCGCGGCCGGCGGCUCCAGCGUCACCUGGUGCAGCAGCACCCGCCCGCGGGGGGGGGCACCGGGGAGGCCCCCGGGCGGGGAGAGGGCAAAGAAGCGGCGCCGCGGCCGCCCCGGGGCCGAGAACGCGGCGCGGGGGCUGAGGCUGCUCCGCACCAGCUCCGUCAGACGGUGCAGCCCCGGGCUCGGCGCCUCCAGCCAGUGGUAACUGGGGACGGGAAGAGGCCGUCAGGGAUGGGGACACAGGGGGGACGCAGCGGGACGCGGCCGUGCCGUACCUGGCGUGUUUGGGGUCCUCGGAGCUCAGCACCGUGGGGCGCAGGAAGCUGA